rnacentral:lncRNA from 1 species
UGCUACGCAGCGAUAGGAUUGUGCUGAAGGAGAAGAAGGAAAGCAGAAGACAUUAUUACACGGCGGGGAGCCAAGUGCGAGGUAGAGUUUCAGAAGCCAGGUGGAGUCCAAAGCGAGGUGGAGCUCCAGAUGAAGGUGGAUCGGGCACAAGACAGGAGACUUGGAAGGAUGAGAGGUGACGUCGCAAGGUGAGAUUCUUAUUACCGCAGGAUGAUGCCCCG